AUGCCCAAGUUAAAGACGAGCGGUGUUGUAGUAUCUGGAUGGGGAGGCCAGUUUCAUUGGUCGUCAGGAGUCUCAUUGGAGUCUAUGUACUCUAAGAAUGAUCCGCACGAUGGGAAGAGGAACUAUGAGGCGUUGUGGCCUAUCUUCAAGAUCAAUCAACAGAGGAGCAGAUACUUGUAUCGUAUGACCUCUACUACAACAGGAAGGUCUCUCGGGCGUUGUACGAGUUCUGCCUUGAUCCAGGUCAUGCUGGCCCUAACCUCUUGCCGACUUUUUUACCCUUCACAUCCGUCGAGUCAACUUGCACUGCCAAGUGAUGUUGAAUUUUCAUUGGAACGUCUCUGCUGCGUGCACUGCAUCGAGACACGACAUCACAACUUUGCAACCACAUGUGUCUGCAGUCCUAAGCAUCUGAGGGAAGAACAGGUCAUAGAGUGUGCUCACUGUGGAUGCCUGGCUGCGCCAGUGGUGACUAAGUAG
rnacentral:rRNA from 1 species